rnacentral:tRNA from 1 species
GCCCGGGUGGCGGAAUAGGCAGACGCGCUAGCUUGAGGGGCUAGUGUCCUUCGGGACGUGCUGGUUCGACUCCAGUCUCGGGCA